rnacentral:rRNA from 1 species
GUGAGUCAUCGAAUCUUUGAACGCACCUUGCGCUCCUUGGUAUUCCGAGGAGCAUGCCUGUUUGAGUGUCAUUAAUAUAUAUAUCAACCUUCUCUUGUUGAAUGGUUUGGAUGUGGGGGUUUGCUGGCCUCUUAAAAGGAUUCAGCUCUCCUAAAAUGCAUUAGCAGAACAAACCUGUUCAUUGGUGUGAUAACUAUCUACGCUAUUGAAUGUGAGGUGGCAGUUCAGCUUUCUAACAGUCCCUCGGGACAACUCAUCAUUAAUGUGACCUCAAAUCAGGUAGGACUACCCGCUGAACUUAA